rnacentral:lncRNA from 1 species
UUGAGAGUUGAUUAAUUUAAUGGGAACACAAGGUGAUUCAGGCACUCAAACAUUCACACUCUUAAACUUUGUAAAAAACAUUUUAAAGCCAAUUAAAAAAAAUCAGGUGAUGAAUCCUUGAUAAAGCAUACUAAGCUACCAAUCUGAUUUCUUUAAUCAAAAUUCCUUACCAAAUCAUAACUACACAUGUGUGAUCCUAAGUCAUAUUAAAAUCAUUAACAAUCUGCAAAUUGGAUACACCUUUUUCCCUCAACCAUUCUUGAACAUAAACUAUAUCACGGAAUGAAACAAAACUACACGACUUCAUCUUUUAUCACAUGCACAAUAUAAUCUAUUCAAACAUCUAGUUACCAAACUAACAAUUUAAAAUGAUAAAGUCCAUGACAAGCUAAAAGCCAACUCACACAAACUAAAAGAAAACAUACAUGUGACUUACUAACCAAUACAAACUCAAAUUCAAAAAAUGCACUUGAAGAUACAUCACACAAGCAGCGAUCCCAACACUAAUUUCAGCAUUGUACUACAAUCACAGGAACAACUUAUGUUAAGCUAUUAUAAUCUAGUCAUAAAACUGAAAGAAGAAUAAAAUAGAAAUAAAACAAACAAUCACAUUUCUAUUUCAUGUUUUCCAAUUUCGGCUUCAAGUUACACUUCAAGUGACAUCCGUAGAGCUGAAAAAUACCUGAAAAUUGCACAAAAAGGAAGAGAAGUGAGGGACUAACAACACAACAGUAAUCAGCAAACCAGCAGCACCAGUACUAGCGAUUAAACCCAGUAAUUUAACCCAGCAAAAAUCAGUGAAAAAUUAACCCCAAAUAGCUUGAAUUAGAACCACCAACAACAAAACAUCAAUUCAUUUUGAGUAUCAGAAUAAGGGCCUUUAUUUUUUCAGAAAAGAAAUUGAAAUUGUCAAUGUAAGAGUGAAAUUUCUGGAGUUUUUUUGUAUUUGUUCUAGAAUUCUGUAUCAGAUUUAACAGUGUUCAAAAAGCUUCCCUCAAAUGAAAGGAAGAAGGUCUUUAAAUAGACAGAUAU